UGAGCCUACGGGACGCAGCAGUGAGGAAUAUUGGUCAAUGGGAGAGAUCCUGAACCAGCCAAGCCGCGUGAGGGAAGACGGCCCUAUGGGUUGUAAACCUCUUUUGUCGGAGAACAAAACCCGGGACGUGUCCCGGACUGCGUGUAUCCGAAGAAAAAGCAUCGGCUAACUCCGUGCCAGCAGCCGCGGUAAUACGUAGGGUGCAAGCGUUAUCCGGAUUUAUUGGGCGUAAAGGGCUCGUAGGCGGUUCGUCGCGUCCGGUG
rnacentral:rRNA from 1 species